rnacentral:rRNA from 1 species
AAUGCUAGGAUGUGAUGGGGAAGCCCUUCGGGGCGAAGUAGCUGAUUUCACACUGUCAAGAAAAGCUUCUAUCGAGUUUAAAGGCGCCCGUACCGUAAACCGACACAGGUGGGUGAGGAGAGUAUCCUAAGGCCAGCGAGAGAACUAUUGUUAAGGAACUCGGCAAAAUGACCCCGUAACUUAGGGAGAAGGGGUGCCUGUCUAUGACAGGCCGCAGAGAAUAGGCCCAAGCGACUGUUUACCAAAAACACAGGUUUCUGCUAAGUCGUAAGACGAUGUAUAGGAGCUGACGCCUGCCCGGUGCUGGAAGGUUAAGGGGAUCUGUUAGAGCAAUCGAAGCAGUGAACUUAAGCCCCAGUAAACGGCGGCCGUAACGAUAACGGUCCUAAGGUAGCGAAAUUCCUUGUCGGGUAAGUUCCGACCCGCACGAAAGGCGUAACGAUUUGGGCACUGUCUCAACAAUAGACUCGGUGAAAUUGUAAUCCCGGUGAAGAUGCCGGGUACCUGCGACAGGACGGAAAGACCCCAUGGAGCUUUACUGUAGCUUGACGUUGGGUCUUGGUACUACAUGUACAGGAUAGGUGGGAGACUAUGAAGCAUGGACGCCAGUCUGUGUGGAGUCAUCCUUGGGAUACCACCCUUGUAGUACUGGGAUCCUAACCAUAGGCCUUGAAUCAGGUCUUGGAACACCGUCAGGUGGGCAGUUUGACUGGGGCGGUCGCCUCCUAAAAAGUAACGGAGGCGCUCAAAGGUUUCCUCAGCACGGUCGGAAAUCGUGCGAAGAGUGUAAAGGCAAAAGGAAGCUUGAUUGCAAGACAUACAGGUCGAGCAAGGACGAAAGUCGGACUUAGUGAUCCGGUGGUACCGCAUGGAAGGGCCAUCGCUCAACGGAUAAAAGCUACCCUGGGGAUAGCAGGCUUAUCUCCCCCAAGAGUCCACAUCGACGGGGAGGUUUGGCACCUCGAUGUCGGCUCAUCACAUCCUGGGGCUGUAGUAGGUCCCAAGGGUUGGGCUGUUCGCCCAUUAAAGUGGUACGCGAGCUGGGUUCAGAACGUCGUGAGACAGUUCGGUCCCUAUCCGUCGCAGGCGUAGGAAAUUUGAGAAGACCUGUCCUUAGUACGAGAGGACCGGGAUGGACGUACCUCUGGUGUACCAGUUGUUCUGCCAAGGGCAUGGCUGGGUAGCUAUGUACGGAAUGGAUAAGCGCUGAAAGCAUCUAAGCGCGAAGCCAACUUCAAGAUAAGAUUUCCCACCGUAAGGGUAAGACCCCAGGAAGACUACCUGGUUGAUAGGUCGAAGGUGUAAGUGCAGUAAUGUAUUUAGCUUAUCGAUACUAAUAGGUCGAGGACUUGAUC